rnacentral:hammerhead_ribozyme from 1 species
AUCCAGCUAACGAGUCCCAAAUAGGACGAAACGCGCGUCCAGGAU